rnacentral:rRNA from 1 species
GACGAACGCUGGCGGCGUGCCUAAUACAUGCAAGUCGAGCGAACAGACGAGGAGCUUGCGCCGCUGACGUUAGCGGCGGACGGGAGAGUAACACGUGUAUAACCUACCUAUAAGACUGGGAUAACCUCGGGAAACCGGAUCUAAUACCGGAUAAUAUAUUGAACCUCAUUGUGCAAUAGUGAAAUACGGUUGUUCGGUCACUUAUAGAUGGAUCCGCGCCGCAUGAGCUAGUUGGUAAGGUAACGGGUUACCAAGGCAACGAUGCGUAGCCGACCUCAGAGAGUGAUCGGCCACCUUGGAACUGAGACAGGGUCCAGACUCCUGCGGGAGGACGCAGUCGGGAAUCUUACGCAAUGGGGGAGAGCCUGACAGAGCAACGCGGCGUGAGUGAUGAAGGUCUUCGGAUCGUAAAGCUCUGUUAUUAGUGAAGAACAAAUGUGUCAUUAACCAUGCCGGUAUUGACGGUACCUAGUCAGAAAGCCCCGGCUAACUACGUG